rnacentral:rRNA from 1 species
AUUGAACGCUGGCGGCAGGCCUAACACAUGCAAGUCGAGCGGAGCGGCGGACGGGUGAGUAAUGCCUAGGAAUCUGCCUGGUAGUGGGGGAUAACGUCCGGAAACGGGCGCUAAUACCGCAUACUAUCAGAUGAGCCUAGGUCGGAUUAGCUAGUUGGUGGGGUAAAGGCCUACCAAGGCGACGAUCCGUAACUGGUCUGAGAGGAUGAUCAGUCACACUGGAACUGAGACACGGUCCAGACUCCUACGGGAGGCAGCAGUGGGGAAUAUUGGACAAGGGGCGAAAGCCUGAUCCAGCCAUGCCGGGUGUGUGAAGAAGGUCUUCGGAUUGUAAAGCACUUUUGGCAGGAAAGCGGUACCUGCAGAAUAAGCACCGGCUAACUACGUGCCAGCAGCCGCGGUAAUA